CUGGAAAGAGAAGUAAUCGCUCCUGAGCAUAGAUUCAGGGGAGGAAAGUCUGGACUUCACAGGAGAGGAUACCAGCGAAAGGCUGGGGGCUGCAAAGCUACGGAAAGUAUAACAGAAAACAUACCGUUGCUUAAUUUUUUAGGCAAAAAGGGUGAAAUGCCUUCUUUAAGAGAAGGCUCUGUUUGAGGAAACUCAAAAGAUGAUAAACCCUAUCCGAAGCAAGACCGAGGUAGAGCAAUACAGUUCUCCGCUGUGCUCUGUACAGGUCGCCAGAGUGUAUUGGUGACAAUGCACCUAGAUGAAUGAUUACUCGUUAGUAUUAUGUACUAAAUGACAGAAUCCGGCUUAAUAUCUUUCCAGACUU
rnacentral:RNase_P_RNA from 2 species